GUGAAACUUCAGCAGCACACAUACUAAAACUGGAAGGAUAGAUUAGUGCUGCCCUUACGCAAAGACUACACACAAAUUUCAGAAGUGUUCCAUGUUUAA
rnacentral:snRNA from 1 species